AACUUUUGGUCUUCGAACUCGGCGCAUUUCUUCGGAAGCGCGUCGGUCAGUUUGCGGGCCAUAUUUCUGGAAAGUACUUCUUCACUUGAUUGUGUGGCUGUAUGCUCCGGAUCAUUUACUGUGAGUAAAUGAAAGUGUUCAAAGCAGGCUCUUACAAGCCUGAAUCGUUUAGCAUGGAAUAAUAAAAUAGAACUUCGGAUCUAUUUUGUUGGCUUCUAGAUUCAAAGUAAUGAUCUAUAGGGAUAGUUGGGGGUGCUCAUAUUCAGGGGGAAGCGGUGAAAUGCAAUGAUCCUCUGAAGAUGAACUAAUGCGAAAGCAUU
rnacentral:rRNA from 1 species